CUAGGGGCAGGUAGGUGGCAACAGUGGAUAGAGUACUGGACCUGAAGUCAUGAAGACUCAUCUUCCAGAGUUCAAAUCUGACCUCAGAUAUUUACUAGUUAUAUGAUCUUGGGCCAGUCACUUAACCCUGUUUGCCUCAGUUUCCUCAUCUGAAAAAACCACUCCAGUAUCUUGGUCAAAAAAACAAAAACAAAAAACACCACAAACCAAAUGGGAUCACAAAAAGUUGAACAUGAAAAAUUUGGCAUAUGUGUAGAAUAGGAAUGGGUAUGCUAUAAGAAAUAAUAAAUAUGAGAAAUUCAGAGAAUCAAAGGAAUAUUAUAUGAAUUAAUGCUGAGUGAUGAACCAGGAAGAAAAUAUGCAAAAUGAUUAUGUAAAUUUAAAAACCAAACUUUAUAUAAUUAUAACAGCUCCCUGAAGAAGAGAUGAAGGAAUUGAAACCCCCUCUGUGCAGAGUCUGGGGACUAUGGCUAAUCGAUGAUAUUGCAAACAGGAACAUCUAUCUGGAAGACUUUGCCAUCCACGAAGAAUUUCUCUUCCAUUUGAAAUCUGAGCCGGAUCUCUUCCACCAUGGUGCAGAAGGUCUUCACCAAGGGCAUGUGUCCCUGUUUUAUGCCUCUGCUGCGUAUGAUAAGAGAGUCAUUGAGACAGGUAUGAAAGGAAUGACAUUUGCUGUACAUAUGUCUUCUCGGAUGUCUCCUCAUUUCCAGCCUGGCUGCACUACUUUUUUCCUGCUUUGAUCUCUUCACCAUGAAGUCAUCACUGGGGAAUCCCAUCAUUUUAGAGUCCAGUCAUCCUUGUUUCUUUUUCUGGGUGCUGACUCUCCGGUGGGAGGGUGUCACCAUAAACACCUCCACAGAAGGGGAGGAAACGAGACAGAUCUAUG
rnacentral:lncRNA from 1 species